rnacentral:lncRNA from 1 species
UUUUUGGUAUGCAGAACUGGCGACGCGGGAUGAACCAGAAGCUGAGUUACGGUGCCAAACUGCGCGCUAACCUAGAUCCCACAAAGGGUGUUGGUCAAUUAAGACAGCAGGACGGUGGUCAUGGAAGUCGAAAUCCGCUAAGGAGUGUGUAACAACUCGCCUGCCGAAUCAACUAGCCACGAAAAUGGAUGGAGCUUAAGCGCGCGAUCUACACC